AGCAGCCGGACUUCUUCUGGCCAGGCAUCUCUCAGGAUCUGAGGCAGUACUGUGAGGAAGAAGAGGGACCGGCACAGGGCCCCCUCCAUCCCCUACCUAUUACUGAAGAUCCGUUUGGCAGAGUAGCUGCAAAGGCACUUUGGUGACUCUAGAGAACCUCGGGCCAAUCGCACGUCCCCGUGAUGGCGACUUUGCAUUCGGAUGCCUGCCCUAUCAACUUUUGAUGCCACUUUCUGCUCCUACUAUGGUGACCACGGGUAACGGGGGAAUCAGGGUUCGAUUCCUG